CUCGAAUUCCGAGGGGCGUAGUUGAUGAACGCGAAACCCCGGGAUUGAUCAAUACAGUGGAACAGCGGGUUCCAGUCAAACAUGUUCAGCAUGAAAGUCGGCAAUGUGUUGGCCACGAACAUCUUGCCGGAUGCAAUCAUGUUGGCGCGCUG
rnacentral:ncRNA from 1 species